UCCUACGGGGGGCAGCAGUAGGGAAUCUUCCACAAUGGGCGAAAGCCUGAUGGAGCAACGCCGCGUGGGUGAAGAAGGUCUUCGGAUCGUAAAACCCUGUUGUUAGAGAAGAAAGUGCGUGAGAGUAACUGUUCACGUUUCGACGGUAUCUAACCAGAAAGCCACGGCUAACUACGUGCCAGCAGCCGCGGUAAUACGUAGGUGGCAAGCGUUAUCCGGAUUUAUUGGGCGUAAAGGGAGUGCAGGCGGUUCAAUAAGUCUGGUGUGAAAGCCUUUUG
rnacentral:rRNA from 1 species